rnacentral:lncRNA from 1 species
AAACUAAUAUUCUAUAUUUAUAUUUUCCUAUUAUCUGAAUCCUAAUAUGUCGCUUGUAGUGGUUAUAAUUAAUAAUGAAUUUUCGUAUGAAUUAUUAUUCCUUGAUAUAGCAGUUCAGCAUACCAAACAUGAAACUGUUGAGUAUCCUCAUAGAGAAAGGUGCAGAUGUUAAUGGAAAAGAUAACAAUGGAGUCGCACCACUUACUUGUAUCAGUUCAGCAUGACAAACAUGAAACUGUUCAAUAUCUCAUAGAGAAAGAUGUCAGUGUUAAUGCAGAAGAUAAAAUGGAGUCACACCACUUCAUGUAGCAGUUCAGCAUACCAAACGUGAAACUGUUCAGAAUCUCAUAGAGAAAGGUGCAAAUGUCAAUGCAGAAGAUAAGAAUGGAGUCACACCACUCCGUGUAGCAGUUCAGCAUGCCAAACAUGAAACUGUUGAGUAUCUCAUAGAGAAAGGUGCACAUGUAAAUGUAACAGAUCAGAUUGGAGUCACACCACUUCAUGUAGCAGUUCAGCAUAUACAGAGAAUGUUCAUAGUGAAACAUGUGAAUGUUAAUGGAGAAGAGAGGUAUGGAGUCACACCACUUAAUGGGGCAGUUCAGCAUGCCAAACAUGAAAGUGUUAAGUAUCUCAUAGAGAAAGGUGCCAGUGUUAAUGCAAAGACUUCCAUGGAGUCACACCACUUCAUGUAGCAGUUAAGCAUGCCAAACAUGAACGUGUUCUGUAUCUCAUAGAGAAAGGUGCCAGUGUUAAUGCAGAAGACUUCCAUGGAGUCACACCGUGGUCAUGUAGCGGUUCAGUAUGCCAAACAUGAAACAGUUGUAUAUUUAUAUUUUCCUAUUAUCUGAAUCCUAAUAUAUCGCUUGUAGUGGUUAUAAUUAAUAAUGAAUUUUCGUAUGAAUGAUUAUUCCAUGAUAUAGCAGUUCAGCAUACCGAACAUGAAACUGUUGAGUAUCUCAUAGAAAAAGGUGCAAAUGUUAAUGGAAAAGAUAACAAUGGAGUCGCACCACUUCGUGUAUCAGUUCAGCAUGACAAACAUGAAACUGUUCAAUAUCUCAUAGAGAAAGAUGUCAGUGUUAAUGCAGAAGACUUCCAUGGAGUCACACCACUUCAUGUAGCAGUUCAGCAUACCAAACGUGAAACUGUUCAGAAUCUCAUUGAGAAAGGUGUGAAUGUUAAUGUAGAAGAUAAGAAUGGAGUCACACCACUUCAUGUGGCAUUAGUUUAGCCUGCCAAAUAUGAAACUGUUGAGUAUCUCAUAGAGAAACUUGGAGAGUUUAAUGCAAAAGAUAUGAAAGGGGUGACACUACUUCAUGUAGCAGCUCAGCAUGCCAAACAUUAAAGUGUUCAGUAUCAAUAGAAAAUGGUGCAGAUAUUAGUGAUAGAGUAAGGUUUAGGAUCACACCUAUUUAUGCAGCAGUUCAGCAUGACAUGACAUAAGUUUGGUAAUGUGUUUCAGUUGCUAGUUAUAGAUUACCCUUAAGAAAUGUGUGUAUAUUGUCCUAAUUUGUUUUCUGUACUAGCAGGAACAAAAUGUGCAUCAUAUAAA